UGCUCACAAAAAUAUUAUCCAACUACAAAUAAGAAUAUUACAAUGUUGGAAUCCAGAGGCCCAUUAAGAAGCCAGGUACAAAACUGAGAAAAUUUGUAAACUAGUAUUCCAAAGGGGAAUAAAAUCAAACGGAAUUAAGAACAAUUCAAAGGCACAUUUCUAACAUAAGAUAACAAAAGACAAAAAGCAGAACACGAGUUCUUGCUACUAGUCAGCUUGGAAAUUCUACUCCUGUUCUCAGUAACACCAUUAAACAUCUUCAAUUGCUCUUGGAACCCAAUCUAGCUUGACAAUUUUAAAUUGUGUAUACCUAGUCUUAAAGGAAAACUCAUAAACUACGAAGAUAUCAUCUCAAGCUGCACUAUAGGUACUGUAAGUACAAACAAAUCCAGCUAAGAGGGAGAAAUAGAAAGGUAAACCCAGAAACGUCUUUGUAUUGUUUUUAGAAGCAGAUAUCAGAUGAACUAUUAUGAUCUCAGCUUAAGCACAUCGCGACCCAUUAGUUUAACAAAUAUGAAAAUGGCAAUAACCAAAUAGAGAUAUUUCCUUAAAAAGAUCCUGCAAUCAAAAUCAGAAAUAUAAUACUGACAACUUCCCACAACUGAUGGAAGAAACCAUUCAACUUUCAGGUAAACAACAAAGAGAUGAUCAAAUGACAAGAAUUUUAAAUUCCAACCCAAAACCCAAAUUUUGGCUAAAUGAGACAAUCCAAACUCACUCUAACUCACAAAACUCUAAGAUCAAAAGAUGACAAUGCGUUCAAUAAAAAAAGGUACAACUGUUUCAGAAACGAUUGUUAGAAUGAAAAUCAAACUGACAUAUAAAAAAUCAGCAUGUGAUCACUGAUCCAACUGAAAACUGACUUUUACACUGUUAGCAAAGAGAUCUAAACAUACUAAUGCACGGCAAACAAAAAUCAGUAUCAAUCAGUUAACGAUCAAAGCUGAAUUGCAAAAAACGAACAAAGACCCGCUACCCAAUUUCCAAGUCCAGGAAAAUGACCGCAUAAUUCGAGCUAAAAAGUCACUCUCGCAGAGUUAACACUCAGAUCCACACACAAAAAUGCAAGCAAAGUUACCG
rnacentral:misc_RNA from 1 species